UACGGGGGGGGGCAAGCGUUGUUCGGAAUUACUGGGCGUAAAGGGCUCGUAGGCGGCCAACUAAGUCGGAUGUGAAAUCCCCAAGCUUAACUUGGGAACUGCAUCCGAUACUGGAUGGCUUGAAUCCGGGAGAGGGAUGCAGAAUUCCAGGUGUAGCGGUGAAAUGCGUAGAUAUCUGGAGGAAUACCGGUGGCGAAGGCGGCAUCCUGGACCGGCAUUGACGCUGAGGAGCGAAAAGCUAGGGGAGCAACGGGG
rnacentral:rRNA from 1 species